ACAUUCAUUUCUAACAGUUUAUAUAAGCAGACCCAAUAAUAGGAUAGUAAUGCAUGGAGAACACCGGGAUUAUACAUUCUCGCAUGAUAAAUUGUAGACAAGCAAAAUACCACUUUUGAAAGGUAUAUAGUCGGGAGCAGAUUGUUCUUUACAUUUGAAAUAAAUAGUGUAUAGUAGUUAUGCAUUGUGUUGUAAUUAAUGGAUUUUAUUAACUAAUUAUUAUUGUAAAGAAAUACCAUUAAGCCAUUUAAUGUGAUUUGGUUAAUUGCUAAAGCAAGAAAAUCAAGACAUAUUAUUUAAUAGUGGGUACUAAAUUUGAAACGGGGGAAUUUAUUUCUGGAUUAAUAUUUCCUUACUUAAUGCCUUAGAAUGGACUGUACCAGUAUAUUGUGAUCAACAAGAUGAAAAUAUUUUGGAAAUUAUACAGGAUGUAGUAUUAAAGACAAUAUAAUUUCAAUUAUCGUACAUUUCAUUUUUAGGCAUUUUAAUACGAUAUUUUCAAUAAAAAUCCAAAAAGUAAAUGAAAAGUAUGGCGAUUCAAAUUGAUUCAAAUUUAGACAAUUAUAAAAGUAAGUGAAAUUGUUUCAUAACUUUAAAAAGACUGAAUGUGAAGCAGAAAAAUGGACGAAAAGAAUGGAGAAAGUUCUAACCAAGACAGCAGAUCUUCAAAAUCAAAAUCUUGCAAAGAGGCGAAAAAGGCAACACUUUCACCACCAACUGAAGCAACCGAGCACAAAAAGCCAAAUCAACAACAACGUACAACCUACGUUCCGGAUACAAAUCUUCCACUAGCUUGCCUUGUUUGUUUAUGUUUCAAUUUUCCAUUAGGUGUUGUUGCAAUGUACCUAUCACUUUCCGCUGCUAGAUUUUACAGAGAUGGUAAUGUUGUAAAAGGUGAAAAAAGAGCAAAGUUAUCUGUGUUAUUAAGUUUGUUUAGUAUUGUAACCACUGUUCUUAUAGUUACGGCCAUAGUUGUUUGGAUUGUGGUAGAUAAGCAGAACCAAAGAGCUCUGAAGGAAUUAAAAACUUGAUUUUUAUGCUAAUUUUAAGGCGACAAGAGUGUGAUGGUAUUUGUGCCAGCAAAAAGAUUGUGACAGCAGAGAACCAGUUUAUAUGUGAUAAUUAUAUAUGAUAAAAAACAUGUGAACUAUAAUGUUGAAUAAAGUGCGAGUAUAGCUUCCAAAAUUCUAAAUAUGCAAAAUAUGAAAAUUAUAGUUUUGCCAGAUGAUACCUUUGAACCUUUUCAUUUUUCAUUGACAGAUAAAUAGAUUUUGCUUUAUAGUUUGUGAAAUAAAAUUCCAUAUAUUAUAGUGAUGAUUACAGUAUUUUGUUAAAUGUUAAGAAGUAAUAUUUCAAGACAUAUAAUGACAUUUAAGGCUAAACCCUAAAGUAUCAUGCUUUAAAUAAAUUAUAUACUAAG